rnacentral:rRNA from 1 species
AGUGAACGCUGGCGGUAGGCCUAACACAUGCAAGUCGAACGGCAGCACAGUAAGCGCUUGCUCUUACGGGUGGCGAGUGGCGGACGGGUGAGGAAUACAUCGGAAUCUACUUUUUCGUGGGGGAUAACGGAGGGAAACUUACGCUAAUACCGCAUACGACCUACGGGUGAAAGCAGGGGAUCUUCGGACCUUGCGCGAUUGAUUGAGCCGAUGUCGGAUUAGCUAGUUGGCGGGGUAAAGGCCCACCAAGGCGACGAGCCGUAGCUGAUCUGAGAGGAUGAUCAGCCACACUGGAACUGAGACACGGUCCAGACUCCUACGGGAGGCAGCAGUGGGGAAUAUUGGACAAUGGGCGCAAGCCUGACCCAGCCAUACCGCGUGGGUGAAGAAGGCCUUCGGGUUGUAAAGCCCUUUUGUUGGGAAAGAAAAGCAGCAGGUUAAUACCCCGCUGUUCUGACGGUACCCAAAGAAUAAGCACCGGCUAACUUCGUG